rnacentral:lncRNA from 1 species
AAAAGGAUUUUAUUCCAUGAACUAAAGGCUGAAGUGCUGGUAGCAUUUGAGGUGCUGGUCAGGACCUACAAGAGGACUUUGAGGAUGUGAGGUUCUUCUUGGUACCCCUUAAACAUCACCAUCCAUGCAGAACACCAGCUCUGAUUACAAAAUAAAUCUCAACUGUUCAAGCUAAUUCAGAAAAGCUGCUGUGCAGAGCUUCUCAAAACUGAGAGACCAACUGCUCUUCAGAAGGAACCUCCUUCCCACUCCUCAAGAUUCCAGUCUCCUGGGGCCCUUCUCCUGAUGAGGAGAAAAUUCUUCCUUUAGUGCCAGCAUCUGUCACAUCUUUUUGACCACUUUCUUUACCAUGUAGCAUAAUACACUUUCUUCGGCAGUGUUUUUAACUUGGUUCGGUCAUGUCUGACUCUUCAUGAACCCCUUUGGGAUUUUCUUGGCAAAGAUACUGAAUUGGUUUGCCAUUUCUUUCUCCAGCUCAUUUUUAUAGAUGAGGAAACUGAAGUCAAUAGGGUUAAGUGACUCGCAUAGAGUCAUAAAACUAAUAA